rnacentral:rRNA from 1 species
AUUGAACGCUGGCGGCAGGCCUAACACAUGCAAGUCGAGCGGAUGACGGGAGCUUGCUCCUUGAUUCGGCGGCGGACGGGUGAGUAAUGCCUAGGAAUCUGCCUGGUAGUGGGGGACAACGUUUCGAAAGGAACGCUAAUACCGCAUACGUCCUACGGGAGAAAGCAGGGGACCUUCGGGCCUUGCGCUAUCAGAUGAGCCUAGGUCGGAAUAGCUAGUUGGUGGGGUAAUGGCUCACCAAGGCGACGAUCCGUAACUGGUCUGAGAGGAUGAUCAGUCACACUGGAACUGAGACACGGUCCAGACUCCUACGGGAGGCAGCAGUGGGGAAUAUUGGACAAUGGGCGAAAGCCUGAUCCAGCCAUGCCGCGUGUGUGAAGAAGGUCUUCGGAUUGUAAAGCACUUUAAGUUGGGAGGAAGGGCAGUAAGCUAAUAUCUUGCUGUUUUGACGUUACCGACAGAAUAAGCACCGGCUAACUCUGUGCCAGCCGCCGCAGUAA